AUCACAACGCAAUAAUUAACAUAAAAAUAUAGGUCUCGAAUUAAAACUAAAAAUUAAACAAUUUUGUCAUCCAUCCAAUACAUGAAAAACCUUAGCCUAGCAUAAUGUUGGAAUUAAACAUAUAAAAGAGGAAGGGGAUCACCAAAAAUUAAAGGAAUGCAAUUAAUCCCUCUCGGCUUCUACGUGUUUACAUGAAUUUUCCCUUUUUUCGGCUCCUAUAUGAGUGUAUAUAUACAUAUCACUUUGCUGCCACAAGUUAUAUGUAUCUCCAAUUACCGCCGGCAACGUGUUUGUAAUUCAUAGUUGGCACUCAAUUUCUUUCCUCCAAUGUUUUGCCACUGUUUGUGUAAAUAUUUGUAUAGACCACGCAGCCCAUUGUUUGACUCCCAAGAUUCCUUUUUACUUCAAAUUCAGCCCCCCCCUAAUUUUGGCGUGCUCCUGUAUCUCUUCCCUCCAAGUUGGCAUGCAGUCUCUUUCCCAAAAAUCUGCCUAUGUUUGUAUAUAAUCUCAAAGUAAGCAGCCGGUUAAUUUAUCUCACCAAAAUAUUUCCCAAGAAUCUCCAAGCUGCUCCUUUUGAGUUUCACCAAGAAGAUUAUUUUUUUCCAAAUUCAGCAACUCGUAUGUGUAGAUGUUGACCCCCAAUUUGCUGCCCAAUUGUGCGUGAGAUAUAUUUCUGAAAAUCAGCUUAGGCAGCCCCUUGUUUUCCUCCAGCUGUCGUUUCUCUCCAAGAAGAGAUAUGGAUUCAGCCCUUAUUUUUUUCUAAGUUUUCUCUUCUCUUCCCAGAUGGCAGUCCUUUUUUUUCCCCCUCUCC
rnacentral:lncRNA from 1 species